GAUGAACGCUGGCAGCAGGCUUAAUACAUGCAAGUCGAGGGGCAGCACGAGUGUAGCAAUACUGUUAUUGUCGAGCGGCAAACGGGAGCGGAACAUGUAUGCAAUCUAUACAAAACUGGGGGAUAGUCGGGGAAAAGCAGGAUUAACACCUCGAAACCUUGUUAAGUAUCAUUAAUUGGUAAAAAAAGCUCCGGCGGUCUUGGAUGGGCGUGGGCUUGAUUAGGUAGUUGGUUCGUGGAACAGCCAACCAAGCCUGCAAUCAGGAACUGGUGUGGGAGCACGACCAAUCAGACGGGCACUGCGACACGGGCCCGAAUCCUACGGGGGGCAGCGGUAAGGAAUAUAGGUCAAUGAACGCAAGUCUGAACCAGCCGUGCCGCGUGAAGGAGGAAGGUCCUCUGGAUUGUAAACUUCUUUUAUGGGGGACGAAACCCGGAUAUUCUGAUCCGAUUGACGGUACCUCAGGAGUAAGCACCGGCUAACUCCGUG
rnacentral:rRNA from 1 species